GGUGGUUCAUUUAUCAUUGAAGGUGCUUCUCUUCUAGUUGCCAUACAAGCUGUGAAGAAAGGUGCAGCGGCAGAGGGAAUGAAAGUGAGAGACUAUGUUUNNNNNNNNNCCACAUCUGUUGCAGUCAUGACAGAGGAUGGUGCUGCAGUAACUGGACUUGCUAUUGCUGCUGCAUCUUUGGUUGCAGUAAAUACCACAGGGAAUGCAAUUUAUGAUUCUAUAGGUUCAAUUAUUGUGGGCAGCCUGCUUGGGAUGGUGGCUAUAUUUCUUAUCCAGAGGAAUCGGCAUGCUUUGAUUGGUAGAGCAAUGGAUGACCAUGAUAUGGAGAAGG
rnacentral:misc_RNA from 1 species